GCUGUUAUAGCUCAGUCGGCAGAGCACAUCCUUGGUAAGGAUGAGGUCGGCAGUUCGAAUCUGCCUAACAGCUCCA
rnacentral:tRNA from 1 species